AGUUGGCUCAGUUGGAAUAGCUCCAGUCUGUUGACCGGUUGGUCAGGGGUUCCAA
rnacentral:tRNA from 1 species